CAGAAGCAAAGUUGUGCUGUGGGGCAGUACUGGCUGUGAGGGGGCCUGAGAAAUCCUUCUGGGGUGGUGGGAAGACUUGGUGUCUAGAUAGGGGUGGUUGUGUUCACUCAAUCAAGAAAUACUGAGCACAUGGGGCCUGCCAGUCUCAAGGGUCAGAGAGACAGUCCUGCCCUGUGUGGAGCUGACCCUGACUCCUCACAGACCCAGAGGGGCUGCGUUUCCAACCACACUGCUGGGCCUUCCUGGUCCCACAGCCGGGCUU